rnacentral:rRNA from 1 species
UUGUGAGGUUAAGCGACUAAGCGUACACGGUGGAUGCCCUGGCAGUCAGAGGCGAUGAAGGGCGUACUAAUCUGCGAUAAGCGCCGGUAAGGUGAUAUGAACCGUUAUAACCGGCGAUACCCGAAUGGGGAAACCCAGUGUGAUUCGUCACACUAUCAUUAACUGAAUCCAUAGGUUAAUGAGGCGAACCGGGGGAACUGAAACAUCUAAGUACCCCGAGGAAAAGAAAUCAACCGAGAUUCCCCCAGUAGCGGCGAGCGAACGGGGAGGAGCCCAGAGCCUGAAUCAGCAUGUGUGUUAGUGGAAGCGUCUGGAAAGGCGCGCGAUACAGGGUGACAGCCCCGUACACAAAAGCGCAUGUGCUGUGAGCUCGAUGAGUAGGGCGGGACACGUGGUAUCCUGUCUGAAUAUGGGGGGACCAUCCUCCAAGGCUAAAUACUCCUGACUGACCGAUAGUGAACCAGUACCGUGAGGGAAAGGCGAAAAGAACCCCGGCGAGGGGAGUGAAAAAGAACCUGAAACCGUGUACGUACAAGCAGUGGGAGCACAGGUUUACCUGUGUGACUGCGUACCUUUUGUAUAAUGGGUCAGCGACUUAUAUUCUGUAGCAAGGUUAACCGAAUAGGGGAGCCGGAGGGAAACCGAGUCUUAAUUGGGCGUUAAGUUGCAGGGUAUAGACCCGAAACCCGGUGAUCUAGCCAUGGGCAGGUUGAAGGUUGGGUAACACUAACUGGAGGACCGAACCGACUAAUGUUGAAAAAUUAGCGGAUGACCUGUGGCUGGGGGUGAAAGGCCAAUCAAACCGGGAGAUAGCUGGUUCUCCCCGAAAGCUAUUUAGGUAGCGCCUCGUGAAUUCAUCUCCGGGGGUAGAGCACUGUUUCGGCUAGGGGGCCAUCCCGGCUUACCAACCCGAUGCAAACUGCGAAUACCGGAGAAUGUUAUCACGGGAGACACACGGCGGGUGCUAACGUCCGUCGUGAAGAGGGAAACAACCCAGACCGCCAGCUAAGGUCCCAAAGUCAUGGUUAAGUGGGAAACGAUGUGGGAAGGCCCAGACAGCCAGGAUGUUGGCUUAGAAGCAGCCAUCAUUUAAAGAAAGCGUAAUAGCUCACUGGUCGAGUCGGCCUGCGCGGAAGAUGUAACGGGGCUAAACCAUGCACCGAAGCUGCGGCAGCGACACUGUGUGUUGUUGGGUAGGGGAGCGUUCUGUAAGCCUGUGAAGGUGUGUCGUGAGGCAUGCUGGAGGUAUCAGAAGUGCGAAUGCUGACAUAAGUAACGAUAAAGCGGGUGAAAAGCCCGCUCGCCGGAAGACCAAGGGUUCCUGUCCAACGUUAAUCGGGGCAGGGUGAGUCGACCCCUAAGGCGAGGCCGAAAGGCGUAGUCGAUGGGAAACGGGUUAAUAUUCCCGUACUUGGUGUUACUGCGAAGGGGGGACGGAGAAGGCUAUGUUGGCCGGGCGACGGUUGUCCCGGUUUAAGCGUGUAGGUGUGUGUUCCAGGUAAAUCCGGUUCACUUUAACACUGAGGCGUGACGACGAGGCACUACGGUGCUGAAGCAACAAAUGCCCUGCUUCCAGGAAAAGCCUCUAAGCAUCAGGUAACAUCAAAUCGUACCCCAAACCGACACAGGUGGUCAGGUAGAGAAUACCAAGGCGCUUGAGAGAACUCGGGUGAAGGAACUAGGCAAAAUGGUGCCGUAACUUCGGGAGAAGGCACGCUGACACGUAGGUGAAGUGAUUUACUCAUGGAGCUGAAGUCAGUCGAAGAUACCAGCUGGCUGCAACUGUUUAUUAAAAACACAGCACUGUGCAAACACGAAAGUGGACGUAUACGGUGUGACGCCUGCCCGGUGCCGGAAGGUUAAUUGAUGGGGUCAGCGCAAGCGAAGCUCCUGAUCGAAGCCCCGGUAAACGGCGGCCGUAACUAUAACGGUCCUAAGGUAGCGAAAUUCCUUGUCGGGUAAGUUCCGACCUGCACGAAUGGCGUAAUGAUGGCCAGGCUGUCUCCACCCGAGACUCAGUGAAAUUGAACUCGCUGUGAAGAUGCAGUGUACCCGCGGCAAGACGGAAAGACCCCGUGAACCUUUACUAUAGCUUGACACUGAACAUUGAGCCUUGAUGUGUAGGAUAGGUGGGAGGCUUUGAAGUGUGGACGCCAGUCUGCAUGGAGCCGACCUUGAAAUACCACCCUUUAAUGUUUGAUGUUCUAACGUGGACCCGUUACCCGGGUUGCGGACAGUGUCUGGUGGGUAGUUUGACUGGGGCGGUCUCCUCCUAAAGAGUAACGGAGGAGCACGAAGGUUGGCUAAUCCUGGUCGGACAUCAGGAGGUUAGUGCAAUGGCAUAAGCCAGCUUGACUGCGAGCGUGACGGCGCGAGCAGGUGCGAAAGCAGGUCAUAGUGAUCCGGUGGUUCUGAAUGGAAGGGCCAUCGCUCAACGGAUAAAAGGUACUCCGGGGAUAACAGGCUGAUACCGCCCAAGAGUUCAUAUCGACGGCGGUGUUUGGCACCUCGAUGUCGGCUCAUCACAUCCUGGGGCUGAAGUAGGUCCCAAGGGUAUGGCUGUUCGCCAUUUAAAGUGGUACGCGAGCUGGGUUUAGAACGUCGUGAGACAGUUCGGUCCCUAUCUGCCGUGGGCGCUGGAGAACUGAGGGGGGCUGCUCCUAGUACGAGAGGACCGGAGUGGACGCAUCACUGGUGUUCGGGUUGUCAUGCCAAUGGCACUGCCCGGUAGCUAAAUGCGGAAGAGAUAAGUGCUGAAAGCAUCUAAGCACGAAACUUGCCCCGAG